rnacentral:misc_RNA from 1 species
AUCACUUUCAUACACUUGAAAUAUAGAAAAACGAAAACGAAAACUUCCGUUCUUCCAAUCAUGGCCAAACCUAAAGGAAGAGCAAGGAAGGGUUUUGGUUUAUUCAAGGGAGCUUUGAUUACUUUGCUUGUGUGGAUAAGCUAGAGAACCAACAAUUGUUGGUCUCCACUCUCCAGAUUUGAUAUUGGAUUUGAUUCUACGCUUAAAGGGUAAAUUUUCUAAACUUUACUUUGUUAAAUUUAGGAUUUUGUUUUCUAAUGGCAAUUAGGUAUGUUAGCAAUAGAAACAUAAUUUGUUAUGACUAAAAUUAUGUGUUUCUAUGUGUUUAUGCAACAGUAUAAAUUAUUUAUAAGUUGCAUGAAACCCUGGG